AUACAGAGGGUGCGAGCGUUAAUCGGAAUUACUGGGCGUAAAGCGCGCGUAGGCGGCUUGUUAAGUCAGAUGUGAAAUCCUCGGGCUCAACCUGGGAACUGCAUCUGAUACUGGUAAGCUAGAGUUUUGGAGAGGGAAGUAGAAUUUCAGGUGUAGCGGUGAAAUGCAUAGAGAUCUGAAGGAAUACCAGUGGCGAAGGCGACUUCCUGGCCAAAAACUGACGCUGAGGUGCGAAAGCGUGGGUAGCAAACGGGAUUAGAAACCCUAGUAGUCC
rnacentral:rRNA from 1 species